AGGACACUGGGGAUUUGCUCAUGUUGGACUUACAGGGAUCUCUCUAAGGUGCCUAAGGAAGGCAAUUUAAAGGGGCUCCAAUCCCCACAUCUCUUCAGUGCUCAGGGCCAUGCCCUAGCUCUAGACUGCAGGCUUGAUGCAGAAAUUACUGAGGGAAGGUCUCUGCCUUAUGUCAGCCUGGAGGCCAGACUAGGCCAGUCUCAUGGGCCUCCUGGCCUUAAAAUCGAUACGAAUCUGCCCAGCAGCCUGUCCCCGCUGCUCGAUAGGGUCAGCUGUGAGGGGAGGCCGCAGGGAAGAGGCUCCCCCUCCCCCACUCCGCGCCCCGGGCAGGUCAGGAGCUUUAGCCGCACUCGGCAGCUGGGGCCCGGAGGGAAGAGACCGGACCCAGGGCAGCGCUAGAGCGGAUCCGAUCCCGGCUCUCCCGGCCCCCUGCUGCUUUCGGGAGAGGGCGGCAGCGCUGGGGAGAGGCCCCUGCCCGCGGGGAGCGGAGAGGACCCGGCACCCCGCGGAGCAGCUCAGAGCGGAGGCUCCCGCUAGGCCCGUGACCCCGGCCGCAGGACGGGCUCGGUGCUGCGGACGCGGGGCUCUGCCCCCGGCUGGGACAGGCCGCCGGGACACUCACCUUUUUGCUCAGGCUGUCCCUGAUCUCAAGUGGCUGGUGCCCAGGGAGCCCUGUAUGACAAUCAGCUGCCUCAAGAGCCAGGCAUGUAAACUUGAGGCAAUACUGAUUGGGAGGACCUGUUUUUGAGGCUCUAGUGAAGCACAGUCAUGCUGUUUCCUCUCACCAGGGGAACUCCCAUGUCUCAGGAGAUUGCCCUAAGCACAGAGCUCUGGGGUAUUCUGCUCUGGGUGCUCCCUCAAUCUUCUGUUGAAGCUGUUCCAGUAUGAACCAACUAAAGAGUUAUUGAAGCAUGGCACUGGACUCCAGGUCUCCCACGUGGAUGCCCUACCACUGGCUUACAGAGAGUCAUAUUCUCUUCCCCCCUGUCUGGUCUAAUGACUAUUCCACAAUGGAUAAAUACUUAAAUAGUUAUUGAACCAUAUCAGACCUGAACAGCAGUGUAAUGUUGCCACUAUGGUUAAUGUUUCAACAGCACUCCAAUUAUUGACUUUACAUUUUUAGAUGUGUUUUAUUGCUAUAAAAAGUAGGGGAAAAUCUUUAAUUUUAAAACAAAAAUCAACUAUUCCUUUAAGACAGGCAUUUUAAAAAUAUUUACAGAUUGUGUUUGAGUCAAAUUCAUAAAUUCCAUUUUAAAAGAAGUCCUAAAUCCUUAGUCCAUGCAUCUUAUUCUGCAAUCCUGACUCUCACAUGUUGCCCCAAUGAAGUCAGUGCUACCGCACAUGUAGACACUGGAUUAUUGUUUUAAAUAUGGCAAUUAAAAUGGUUUGUUGAUAUUUUAAGGAUCCAUUCUACAAAUCAAUACACUGCUAAAUAAGAUUCAUAUCUUCUUCCAUGACUCUGAAUCAAGGAGUGUUUCACUGACUUUAAUAAAAAUGAGCAUGAAAAAACAUUUAGUCAGCCACAUCAGUUCUUGAUACAAAUACUGUCUGAAACAGAUGCAAGAAAAAAAAAAAAAAAAGCUUCCAAUAGUGUGCUAAUCUUCAUUUUACUUUUAGAUACUGUAACUUUUACUACAGUCCCAUUUAAUGGACUAAUGCCUAUGGUAUUAAUUUUCACUCCACAUAAAACCACGAAAUGGCUCAGUGAUGCAUUGGAUAUAUAAUAUACCAAAUUACAAGAUGGAGGUUUGUGUUUCCUGUAUUUAAAUAGGGAAUAAAAAGUUACUGAAAAACCAGCACAUACUGUACAGCUUAUAGUACAUACUGAAAUACAGCUGAUUUCUUUUAAAAAAUUCUUAUAUAGCAUUGUUGCAAUGACCAUAUCCUAGCACCCCUGCAUAGGACACUAGUUUUAUUACCAAGACCAAUGCAUUCCUGGAGGUCUUUGACAUGUGGUCAAUAAUACCAAAGCAACUGUUGUCAUAAGACAUGCAAAUUAAAACAAGCUAAGCACAAUAAAAAACAAUUGCUUUUAAGUUACACAUACUAAUUCUAGUACAAGCUCCCAAAUUGUACCAAUACACUUGCAACUUUUUGGACACAUCUAGUGGUUAAUUAAAGAUGGUUAGCAGCUAGAGUUCUAUCAAGCUCAAUUUACACUCAACUGCAUUUUUCAAAUAAAGUCCUUUCUAGAUCAGCUGGAUAAAAGGUUUGAAGAACAACUACUGCCUAUCUGGAGAUCUCAAAACACUUUACAAACAAUUAAGGUCUGCAACACCUCUGAGGUACCCAGUUUACCUCUGCACCUGGUUCUCUUAACAGAGUCCUGUGAAGUGCUGAGUUGAGUGCUUGACUUCAAUGGAAGCUACAGGUGCUGAUCAUCAGCACACAGUCAGGUCUAUUUUAACAGGAAGUUAAAGGUGCAAGCUGCAAGUCUACUAGUAACCCUGACCACCACAUUAGCUAUUUGCAAUAAAUCUUAUUCAUAAGCUAAAGCCAUGUUCAUUUGUACAAUAUUACCUCAGACAGAUAUUGUCUGGUUUCUGAAGGACCUACUACUUGGGGUGAAGCUGUUGAUUUAGUGAUCUUAUCCUUAUAAUUGAAAUAUCUAGAUUCCCUGGAACUCCUGGUUCAAACCCCAGUACUGCAUCCUGCUAAAAUGCAUGAAUUGAGUCCCAUGCACUUUCCUAGGUUGGGGAGGAAUUUCAGAUUAGACCUUACAAAAAGCAAUUGUGAAUUCUGUUGAACUGUGAAUGUCCACAGUAAGUGUUUUCAUUUGGGUUCCAUUCCAGAAACUUUGGUUAACAAAACUUACAAGGAUAAACCAGGCUAUUAGUUAACAUACAAGCCUUAGAUUUGUUGCUUUUGCUCUCCUGCCUGCUCCAUCCUCAAAAAAACCAAAACCCACCAAUCAGGAUUUUGAGGACGUUUAUUCAAGUAACUGUUUCUUGCUAUAUCCCAGAACUGGACCCUUCACUUUCCUCUCCGCACGAUUGUUAAAUCGUUAAUAGAUCUUUAUAUAUAAAGAACAGAAAAAUACUUCCAUCAGAAAUCAUUUGAUACCCCAUCACCUUCUCCAAAGGGAAAGGUGCAAGGUGAAUUGAAACAGUUGUUCAUUAGUUAGCCUGGGGGAUAUUUAUGGUCACAAAAUCCAGAGGGGCACAGAAAUAUAACUAGGAAAAAAUAGGUGUCCUGUAUCUGCUACUACCUUGGCAGAGUUGGGACAGAUGCAAGAUGUUGAUAUGAAGGCUCAAAACUGGACAUUUGCUGGCAUGCUUGCUGUAUCAGUUCUAAUAUAAACUUGGAACAUGACAGUGCCCUCAGUACCACCAGUUUCCCUUUUGGAAGUUUGUAUACAUGAUUAGUUAUAAUGGCCUGAGUAGGACCUAAGAGGACUAGGUGCAAUUAAAAUAUCUAGCCAUACUUGGGGGAGCACAGGUAUAAAUUAGGAGGAAUGGGAGGCAACAAGAGCCAAGCUGGAGGCAAAGGCAAAGUUGUGCAAUCUUGAAUGUGACCGAGCAUCUCAAACUUUGUAUCCUUUGUAUCAGAGAAGGAGAGGGUAGGGGAGGAAGAGCGAGACCAUGAACUCAAAGCAGACAUGAGGAAUUUAAGUGAGGGCAGCACAGGAAGAAUAUCCCCUUAUUCUACAUUUCAGCUUACUGGAAAGCUACACACAUUUUCCUAGAUACAGAAGGUUGAGAUUGUGGAGAAUGUAAAUUCUAUUACAUGGUCAUUUUGUUCUUUUGACUAAUAUCCCCUUUCUUGUAGGGGAAGUUUUCCCUCCUACAAAUGAGCACAUAACACAAAGUUUCCUUAGAUUACCACCAAGUCAGUAAGCGAUUUGUUUGGGAAUUCCUCUCCAUGCCCCCCCAAACACAGAGUCAGGACUACUAGUAAACGUUUCUUAAAAGAUUUAUUAAAGUAUCAUUUAUCACAAAUAGAGAAAUAAACAGAUUAGAAGCAUGCAACCAUCAUCUCCCACAUUUAAGUAAUUUCUGUAUGCAUUUUUUUCCUUGCAUUCACAGCAUGUUGUCAAACUUCAAACGUUAGUGCCAGCUUCACUCUUCCUGAAAAUGUUUCAAGGCAAUAGAUAACAAAAAACAGUAAGGUAAGAUAGUGUGAGAAAAGUGCAGAGUAAAAAAUAUGUACACACACACACUCACACUCAAGCUUCCCUCCCAACCUCUUUCCCCCC